AUUGAACGCUGGCGGCAGGCCUAACACAUGCAAGUCGAACGGUAACAGGAAGCAGCUUGCUGCUUCGCUGACGAGUGGCGGACGGGUGAGUAAUGUCUGGGAAGCUGCCUGAUGGAGGGGGAUAACUACUGGAAACGGUAGCUAAUACCGCAUAAUGUCGCAAGACCAAAGAGGGGGACCUUCGGGCCUCUUGCCAUCGGAUGUGCCCAGAUGGGAUUAGCUUGUUGGUGGGGUAACGGCUCACCAAGGCGACGAUCCCUAGCUGGUCUGAGAGGAUGACCAGCCACACUGGGACUGAGACACGGUCCAGACUCCUACGGGAGGCAGCAGUGGGGAAUAUUGCACAAUGGGCGCAAGCCUGAUGCAGCCAUGCCGCGUGUAUGAAGAAGGCCUUCGGGUUGUAAAGUACUUUCAGCGGGGAGGAAGGGAGUAAAGUUAAUACCUUUGCUCAUUGACGUUACCCGCAGAAGAAGCACCCGCUAACUCCGUG
rnacentral:rRNA from 1 species